GAAAUAUACAAUAAUUAAGCUGCUAACUUAAUUCAUAGUGAUUCAUUUCAUUAAUAUUUCU
rnacentral:tRNA from 1 species